UAAACAUUGGUUCUCAUCUGAUCACCAAAGUUAAGCAACAUCAAGCCUAGUUAGUAACUAGAUGGGUAAUUGCAUGGGAAUACCAGGUGGCGUAAG